AAGCAGCAUCACGAGUGGAGCAACGGCUCCCGCCAACCUGCCUCAAUCUGGCAAGGUGGCUUUGGAAACAAGAUGCGGCCGUAAAUGGCAACGAAAGGAUUGAAU
rnacentral:ncRNA from 2 species